AGUUCAGAUUGCAGGCUGCAACCCGCCUGCAUGAAGUCGGAAUUGCUAGUAAUCGCGGAUCAGCAUGCCGCGGUGAAUAACGUUCCCGGGCCUUGUACACACCGCCCGUCACACCAUGGGAGCCGGUAAUACCCGAAGUCAGUAGUCCAACCUCGUGAGGACGCUGCCGAAGGUAGGAUUGGCGACUGGGGUGAAGUCGUAACAAGGUACC
rnacentral:rRNA from 1 species